UUUCCCUUUUAAUUUUUAAUUUUUAUUUUUAUAAAUUUGUGAACAUGUUGUGUCACAAAGUCACACAACUUUGCAUACAGUUUAUUAAUGUAGAUAAAUGUAUUAAUCUUUAUGGGAUAUAUAAAUGCUGUGGUUGCUUAGCAACAAGUAGCCUAUAUACAAUGUAUAUAGUUUAUUAAUGUAGAUAAAUGUAUUAAUCUUUAUGGGAUAUAUAAAUGCUGUGGUUGCUUAGCAACAAGUAGCCUAUAUACAAUUUUAAAUCUUGAAAGACCAGCUUUGCCGACCCAUUUGCACUACAUAUUUGAAAUGUUGCAAGCAUGUUGCUUUAAAUGUCAUACCACCAAAAUCUGAUUGGUGGAGUGUUGCAGACAUAUUUUAGCCCCCUCUGAAAUAGCUUUUUAGGCAUGAGGGGUAAAUUAAUGGAACAAUAAACAUUUUUCCCCAAUUAUCUCGCACAAUCCACUGCUUACUGUGACCGAUUGCUGCAUAGUGGAAAAGCUGCAUGUAACUGCUGGUCUAGGCAUAGGCAGAGUGUGUGAAAGGCUUCCCCUGGCUACGGGCAUGAUGUGUGUAUUAAUGAAUGUAGGUAUCAAUUGGGAAUUGCAAUUGCCGCUCCGAUAUAACAUUUCUCGUAACUGCUGGUCUAGGAUCAGUUUUCCAAACUCAAGUUCAAACUUUGAAAUAAAUGCUAAUCAGAAGGAAAAGCUGUCUCUAGAUCAGUGACGCUGUGGCCAAAUUCAUCUUCUCUUGAGUGGCACAAGGAAAAUGUCUUCAUUUCUGAAAUAAUUGUACAUUUUUAAAACAAAUAUUAAAAUUAGUGUAAUUCUUGGAUUAAACCAUAUUUAUUCAAUUAUGGUAGGCUAGUACUGAAAAUGAGUUCAUCCAAGUUUGUAACAUCAGACACAUUCCUUGAAUUUGAAGAUUCUCUCCACUGGAUUGUAUCUUAACUUCCUACAUUUUUCAAGUUAUUGCUGCAGGACUGCUUGCAGUUCCAAGCGGUUCAUUUAGUUUUGAGUCGCUAAAGUUUGAGUACUGGCGGCUGUGUAGAUAAAGGUUCACAUCCCAUUCAAAACAACACUCCAAACAAAAUAUUUGUUAUUGUUUACUAUCACAUUUAUACAGGCCUAAUCUUGCCAUAUUAAUAAUUUCAUGAGCUAAAUGAGCAAGCAUAGCUAUGUGUGUUUCCAUCAGCAUGGCAGCUGUCUUACCGAAUUCUCCAAAAUCUUGACAGCCAAGGAGACAUCUGAUUUCAAAAUGUAUAGUGAAAAGAGUAAUAUUUUGGUCUGUUCUCACCCAAAAUGUGUUGGAUCUCUUCAAAAGACAUUAAAUAAACAACUGAAGUCUUAAUGAUUACCUUUAUGCUGACUUAAUGUCCUUUUUGAAACUUGAAAAUUUGGUCACCAAUCACUUGUAUUGUAUUGAAAAACAGACAAUCAUAUUUCCAUUAAAGUAUCUUAAUUUGUGUUCCGUGGAAGAAAGUCAUUUGAGUUUGAGAUGACAUAAGUGUGAGUAAAUGAUGAGAGUAUAAGCAUUUUUGUUAACUAUUCCAUUAGGGGUUCAGAUUAAACACACAAGCCCUUAUUUUGCAUCAAGAUCUUUUGGUGUGAAUUUUAAAAUAUGUUUCUAUCAUCUUGUGGAGGUGAGGGUGUGGUCGAGCGCCCGUCUGGGGAGAGAGAAAGGGGUAAGGGCAUCCGUGAGAUGAAUUGUGACUAAUUACUGUUUCUGUGUACACAGUGAGAGUCGGGGGAGAUAAAAGAUGAUCAGUCCACAGAAAGAGAGCAGUAACACACCAGAGACUGUGUAUUUAUGAUCAGAGACUUUUUACGAUUAUUGCUCAAAAGCUGGACCUUGUUUCAGUUUAUGUUGAAAAGCAGUCUUUUGUUUGAUAUACGCUGGAAAGUGAUUUCUGUUCUAUUUUAAUAAAAAGCUGACUCACUUGGAAUGCGGAAACCUGCUCCCGCUUCCUACUUUAUCCCGGGUUUCGGCACCAGUGUAACAAAGGUUCAUUGUUGGUCAGAAAAAGGAGGAAGCGGUAGCCGGUUUCCACGUUUCAAGUGAGUCAGCUUUUAUUACAUAGAUACUGUAUACACAGUAUAUAUAUACAAUAAAAAUAAAAGCAUCAAUUUAGGCUACUUAUCUACAAUAUUCCGUUUCAGUUCUCACAGUUUUAGCUCACUUUUCUGCCCUGAUACCUUGUACCAAUGUUGAUUUAAUGUCACAUUAUAUUGACAACUAACAAUGUCAACACAGACUAAUCCAGGUUUUGCCUGGAGGCUGAUUACUCAUGGAUUUUUGAUGUAGUCCAUCCAACAGGCUGAUAUAUUGCUCCCUCAUAUCCCGACUCUCUGCACCAGUCGCAACAUGUUGCAAUCUGAGGGAAGUUGGUUGGAAACUCCUUUUGGCACAUCUCCCUGGGGCUAUCAGAUGAGACACAAAUGAAAUAAGCCAAGACACAGGAGACAACACUAGAGUCUUGGACUCAGAUCCACUUCCUCCUCAUGUUAACCAGCAAGUAACACAAUCCUUUCCACAUUGACCACACACAUACUCCUUUCCACCACACUGCUCCUGUCAGAGCUGCUUACCUGGGAAACUUGAGAAGUGAUCUCAAAACUGGCCAGCUUUUCCAAAGACUUGAGAACUGAACAAUGAUCUAACUGACAACAUUAAUCCAUAACCAGCCCACAAAUGCAUACAGCACAUCAUGGUCUUUGCUUAAGACGAGGCUGGAGCCGUUUUGCAAGUUCAAUCCACAUGAUUGAAAAACAACUCACAGCUUCAUUGAAUUCUACCCGCUCAACACCAGUAACGAGAAGACUUAUGCCUUAUGGGAAAAAUUGCAAAGAAAAAGCCACUUUUUAAACAGAAAAACAAAAAGAAAAGUUUAGAGUGGGCAAAGAAACACAGACAUUGGACAACAGAUAAUUGUAAAAGAGUGUUAUGGACCUUAACCCCAUUGAGAUUUUGUGGGAUCAGGUAGAGUGUAAGGUGUGUGAGAAGUGCCCGACAAGACAGCCACAUCUAUGGCAAGUGCUACAGGAAGCGUGGGGUGAAAUGUCACCUCAGUAUCUGGACAAACUGACAGUUAGAAUGCCAAGGAUCUGCAAAGCUGUCAUUGCUGCACGUGGAGGAUUUUUUGAUGAGAACUCUUUGAAGUAGUUUAAGAAGUUCUGAAUUUCUUUUUUUUUUUUUUUUUUUUUCAAAUUGUAAUAGUAAAUUAUCACAUUAUUAAUGUCCUGACUAUACAUUGUGAUCAGUUGAA